GGGACAGUAGCUAAAUGCAAGGUGUCACUGAGCAGUCAGAGGCCCUCCAGAAGCGUGGGGCUGGUCCUGUGUUGUCAGGCAGGGUCAGCCCAGCUCAGAAGGACUGAUUGCUCCACGGGGUAGGGUAGGUGGCACAUAGAGAAGGCAGCCCUCCCUCUCAAAUACUUCUUUGCUCUCUAGAACACACAGACAUGAGCCUCCAGCCCUCCCUCCCUGCUGUUGACUGACGGUCACAGUGCUGCCCUGGUCUGACCAGUGUGCUUGGCAGGGGCCGCCUGGUGGGAACAGGACCUGAGAACCUGGCAAGCCUCGGUCCUUUAAUCUCAUCUGCAUCACAACCUGGGGCCUUGGAACGGGGCUCUGAUGCUGUCAGCACAGUGAGCAGUGACUAAUUAAGACACGACUGCAUUAGUCACGUUGGAGGUGACAACUGAGCAGCAUGUUUUGGGUUCAUGUCUGAGAGAUCCUGACACACUUUUCAAUUAUGUGGAACUAAUAGUGUGUGGCCUCCACGCAGCCGUGUCGGGCGGGGGAGAAGGAGAGUCUGCGAUGAAAGUGUGACUCAGUACAGCUCCUCACUCACUUCUCUGCACUCCCUUCUGAAAAUCACAAUAGGUCACACCAGGGAGCGUGGCACUUGGGGUCCAGAGGGCUUCUUUCAGAAGGAGAGUUAUGAGACAACUCUGGGUGACAC
rnacentral:lncRNA from 1 species